rnacentral:snoRNA from 1 species
AUGAGGAACCUGGGUCUGCGGAGUUUGAAGAGGACAUAGGCCGCUGA